rnacentral:lncRNA from 1 species
UAUACAAUCAAUAGAUCUAAAUCAGAACAAUCUUCUUCUUUUAUUUUUAUUUUUAUUUUUAUUUUUAUGGAUGAAGAGAAAAGAGGAAGGAAAGAAAGAUGAGAAGAGAGUUUUAAAGAUGAACCCUAAGAAGUUCUAAAUCUAGAGAUGAUAGAGAAGAAUCUUUUAAUUAGAUUUAAAUUAUUUAUUAGUAAUCAAGUUAGACAAUCAAUCCUAGCUAAAAAUUAUCC